rnacentral:rRNA from 1 species
AUUGAACGCUGGCGGCAGGCCUAACACAUGCAAGUCGAACGGUAACAGGAAGCAGCUUGCUGCUUUGCUGACGAGUGGCGGACGGGUGAGUAAUGUCUGGGAAACUGCCCGAUGGAGGGGGAUAACUACUGGAAACGGUAGCUAAUACCGCAUAACGUCGCAAGACCAAAGAGGGGGACCUUAGGGCCUCUUGCCAUCGGAUGUGCCCAGAUGGGAUUAGCUAGUAGGUGGGGUAACGGCUCACCUAGGCGACGAUCCCUAGCUGGUCUGAGAGGAUGACCAGCCACACUGGAACUGAGACACGGUCCAGACUCCUACGGGAGGCAGCAGUGGGGAAUAUUGCACAAUGGGCGCAAGCCUGAUGCAGCCAUGCCGCGUGUAUGAAGAAGGCCUUCGGGUUGUAAAGUACUUUCAGCGGGGAGGAGGGGAGUAAAGUUAAUACCUUUGCUCAUUGACGUUACCCGCAGAAGAAGCACCGGCUAACUCCGUG